rnacentral:rRNA from 1 species
CCUACGGGAGGCAGCAGUGAGGAAUAUUGGUCAAUGGGCGCGAGCCUGAACCAGCCAAGUAGCGUGAAGGAUGACUGCCCUACGGGUUGUAAACUUCUUUUAUAAAGGAAUAAAGUGAGGCACGUGUGCCUUUUUGAAUGUACUUUAUGAAUAAGGAUCGGCUAACUCCGUGCCAGCAGCCGCGGUAAUACGGAGGAUCCGAGCGUUAUCCGGAUUUAUUGGGCUUAAAGGGAGCGUAGAUGGGUUGUUAAGUCAGUUGUGAAAGUUUGCGGCUCAACCGUAAAAUUGCAAUUGUUACUGGCAGCCUUGAGUUCAGUUGAGGUAGGCGGAAGUCGGGGGGUAGCGGUGA